UAGAGUUUGAUCCUGGCUCAGAUUGAACGCUGGCGGCAGGCCUAACACAUGCAAGUCGAGCGGAUGACGGGAGCUUGCUCCUUGAUUCAGCGGCGGACGGGUGAGUAAUGCCUAGGAAUCUGCCUGGUAGUGGGGGACAACGUUUCGAAAGGAACGCUAAUACCGCAUACGUCCUACGGGAGAAAGCAGGGGACCUUCGGGCCUUGCGCUAUCAGAUGAGCCUAGGUCGGAUUAGCUAGUUGGUGGGGUAAUGGCUCACCAAGGCGACGAUCCGUAACUGGUCUGAGAGGAUGAUCAGUCACACUGGAACUGAGACACGGUCCAGACUCCUACGGGAGGCAGCAGUGGGGAAUAUUGGACAAUGGGCGAAAGCCUGAUCCAGCCAUGCCGCGUGUGUGAAGAAGGUCUUCGGAUUGUAAAGCACUUUAAGUUGGGAGGAAGGGCAGUAAGCUAAUACCUUGCUGUUUUGACGUUACCGACAGAAUAAGCACCGGCUAACUCUGUGCCAGCAGCCGCGGUAAUA
rnacentral:rRNA from 1 species